AAGUUCAAUUAUAAAUAACAAUUAUCGAUGAUACUAUUUAAUGUACGCGAUGACAAAAUAUUAUGAAGUCUAGCUAUUACAACAAAUAAUAUUCCCUGUACGUCAUGGGUUAUCAUAACCAAUUAUUGAGCAUCAGUGUCUACAUUUCAUCAUGGUAUGUACUAACCAUGAAUUAUGAUUCGUAUUGUUUGGUGAAAGCGGUCUUUAUUGUUUCAAACUUGGCUUGUCUGAGUCUAUCUUACCGGCACAAAUGUUAACGUCAUUGAAGAAUUAUUAAAGUAACCCAUCCCAUCAAACUAAUUUUUCAGGGAGCUAUUUCCCUAUAGUAAAAACUGUUUCUAUUGUUGUGAGGCUGAUCUGUGUAACACAAAUUGCCAAACUAGAGGUUCCUAUAUCUUAAGUUUACUUGAGCAAGAAUUGCUCAUUGUGAGCUAUUGUGGAGGAUGUGUAUCAGGCGCCUAAAGUCAAAAUGUAUGUCGUGUGUCUUGUGGUUUCCGUCAUUAACAAAAUCGCUUCAAAAUAAUUUCAUCCUGUACCGCUUGAUAUAUAUUGACAAUUGACAAAUCUUCAAAUGUAUUAUCAUUGGUUUGUUCAAAUGGUUCCGGUCGGCUUUUAAACUAGAUAAUAAGAGUCUUCAAUAGAUUUUAUAAAGUAGUUAAUUAAAGAAUCUUCAAAAAUGCCAGACGAACUGGUUUUAUAUGUUUAAUAUUUAAUCUCUUAGAUGUAGUUUUAAAUGUUUGUUCAAAUCAUGACCCUGGGGUAACAUCUGGACACGGCCCACAAUCAAUAAUUGAUUUAGACUUAUAUAUAGCCAAACAAUUAUUAUAAUCUUCACUUACACGAUAAAACCGAGAAAUAAGGCCUGUAAUAUAAUACGGCUUUCCUCUCCAAUUCUCGCGUUAAAUCAUGCAACAGGCGUCGAAAUUGGUUUGGCCAUGGGGGUAACGUGUUGUCUUAAUCGGUAACGGGUUAACUUUUACCUCUUCUCUCCUCUGAAACUGCAAGGCUCAUAUGUUUGUAUUUGAAAUGUAAUAUUGUUAAGUGGUCCUCUAUGAAGUUUUUAUACAUUCCAGCUAUUACAACAUAUAAUUUUCCUCGUAAGUAAUAUGAGGUCAUUCGGCAAGUAUUAUUUACUGUAUACAGUGGACGAACAACGGGAUGCAGGGACUCCGUGGUCCUUGUGUACUUCACUUUGUAACCAGACAAGGACUCGAGAAUGCAACAACCCGGCACCGGUACAUGGCGGACAAAACUGCACAGGCCUAACGACGCAAAAACAAGGCUGUUACACAGAGCAAUGUCAAAAUGGAUAGACACUGGGGUUCAUGGACUGCAUGGUCCCUUUGUACCUCUUACUGUAACCAGACAAGGUCUCGAGCGUGCGACAAUCCGGCACCGCUAAAUUGCGGUAGAGAUUGUCCAGGGAUUACGACCCAAACACAAGAAUGUACCAUAUCUAAAUGCCAAGCAAAAGAUUGCUCCGAGCUUCUUAGCAGCUUUGCUGUCCGGCUUAGUGGUGUGUAUACCAUCAACACCCCUCUAACUCACACGAAAAUACAGGUGUACUGUGACAUGGACACUGAUGGAGGAGGAUGGACGGUCUUUCAAAGGCGGUUCAAUGGCAGUGAAGAUUUUUAUCGGAACUUCAAUGACUAUGAAAACGGCUUCGGAUCUGUUCACGCAGAACACUGGCUCGGUUUUAAAUACAAUCACGAGAUAACAUCACGUGGAUCCUAUCAACUUCGAGUGGACAUUUUGCGUUCAAAUGGAAGCAAGGGAUACGAUGUGUAUGGUAGCUUCAGUCUGCAACCGGGACUGCAUACGCUCUGAACAUUGGGUCGCGUUUACGGUCAAAUAAUGUUGAUACCACAAACCCAUUUACUCAACCAAACGGCAAUGCCUUCAGUACAUAUGAUCAUGACGUUGACCAUAGAGAUGACGUAAAUUGCGCAGCGGCGUGCAAAGGAGGCUGGUGGUACAAAGGCUGCUAUAGUAGAAUCAAUCCAAACGGCCUUUACCGACCAGGGCAAGAAAAUGACGAAAAUAUGAAAUAUGACUCUCCGUACGGCAUUGCUGCCAGCACAGUCAUGUUUAAACGUGUGUGAUAAACACGGUGUCAUAUUUAACAUAUGGGGACAAUUCAUUUACACAAUCAUAAGCAACUGAUUUAAUGUGGACAAAAACGACAGCCAGCAUACGUUUUAAAACAACUGUUGUUGUUAUUUUUGGCACUCUAACGAGCUUGUGGUUUUUCAUGGACUGCAGAA